rnacentral:lncRNA from 1 species
UUCAGUUUCCGCUGUAGCGAGUUAUGGCUCAUAGAAGAGGAGAAAAACAUUUUCGCUCAGGAGUUGGAGCAGAAAACUUGCAGUUUUCGGACCAUUGUGGAUGUACCGUGUCUUUUGGACCGAAACGGUUUACUGGAUUAUAUUCCCUGGACCAUAACGGACAGAAUGACACCAAACACAACGUGAAUGGACGAUGUAUGGGGUUCAGACGUCAAACACGAAGGAAGGAUGAGUGACAGUGUCCCCGCCGCCCCAGCUCUCCAUAUGGGUGGGUGGGACUUCGCGACUGGCGAAGCGGCGUCCCGAAAUCGCCCAUCUGCAACUUUGCAGGUCUGCUCAAACCCUGGGAGAGAACACUGCAUCGCCACCCAGGGCCAGCCGCCACUAUUACAGUUCUUCCGCGAGGACCCGUUGAAGAGUGAGGAAAUGAGGAGAAAGACAAAAAGAGAGUAAAUGUGAAAAAUGCAAUCUCUCAGACAGAAAACAGCGACUAUAAAGGCAGCUCAAUCAGGUGAGGAUGUAAAGCAUGUAAGUGUAGGCAGGAAGACAAACUGUGAUGCGAGGUUGUCAAAAAAAACAAACAAAUAAUUGUUAUCAAAAUUCAGCAAAAUAUAAUCAUAAGAACAAUAAACGCAGUACAGGAUGGUGGAGCA